UACGAAGGGGGCUAGCGUUGUUCGGAAUCACUGGGCGUAAAGGGCGCGUAGGCGGCUUUGUAAGUCGGGGGUGAAAGCCUGUGGCUCAACCACAGAAUUGCCUUCGAUACUGCAUGGCUUGAGACCGGAAGAGGUUAGUGGAACUGCGAGUGUAGAGGUGAAAUUCGUAGAUAUUGGGUGGAACACCGGUGGCGAAAGCGGCUCUCUGGUCCGGACCUGACGCUGAGGCGCGAAAGCGUGGGGAGCAAACAGG
rnacentral:rRNA from 1 species